CCUACGGGAGGCUGCAGUGGGGAAUUGUUCGCAAUGGGCGCAAGCCUGACGACGCAACGCCGCGUGGAGGAUGAAGGGCUUCGGCUCGUAAACUCCUUUCGACCGAGAUGAAUACCCGCAGACUUAAUACGUUUGCGGACUGACAGUAUCGAGGGAAGAAGCCCCGGCUAACUCCGUGCCAGCAGCCGCGGUAAUACGGGGGGGGCAAGCGUUGUUCGGAAUUACUGGGCGUAAAGGGUUCGUAGGUGGCCAACUAAGUCAUACGUGAAAUCCCUCAGCUUAACUGGGGAACUGCGUCUGAUACUGGUUGGCUUGAGUGCAGGAGAGGAACGCGGAAUUCCAGGUGUAGCGGUGAAAUGCGUAGAUAUCUGGAGGAACACCGGUGGCGAAGGCGGCGUUCUGGACUGUAACUGACACUGAGGCGCGAAAGCCAGGGGAGCAAACGGGAUUAGAUACCCGAGUAGUC
rnacentral:rRNA from 1 species